CCCAACUCUCAGCGGCGUACUCUUCCCAACGAGGAUCUUGACCUGACGCCGUGUCUUGGUGGGAAAAACAGAUUCGUUACGUCGCCGCGACGCUGUUCCUAACACUCGCGCACGUCGGAUAGAUUUACGCGCGUUUUCAUACUCGAGGAAAAGUGGACCGGAGUCGGGUUCCGGCGAGAUCGUACACACGUCGGAGCAAGGACACGGGUUUAAAAAGAAAGUGGGUGUGACAGAUCGAAACAGAAGGAUGGAAGAGGAUGGAAAGAAGUAGAGAUAGAGAGAUGGAAGAAGGUAGGAAGAACUGACGGGAAGAGAGAAGGAACGAUGGAUAAAAAGAAAGGAAGAAGGGCAGAUGUACAAAAUGAAGAACGGAAGGAUGAGGAAAAGGAGGACUGGAAUACGGAGGCAGGACGGACGAAGUGGGGGGUGGGGGUGGGUGGGGGGGGACGGAUGGAAGGAAGGACACAAAAGGAAGAGUGGGAAAAGAAAGAAAACGAUGGAAGGAGCGCCAGGAAGAAGGGAGAUCAAAAGCGUGAAUGAGUGGAAUGGAGCGAGGGGAAUAAAGAAGGAAGGAAGGAAGAAAAAGGAAAUAAGGAAGGAAGGAGGGAAGGAAAGAAGGCGAGAAGGAAGGAAGGAAGGAAGGAAGGAAAGAAGGAAAGAAGGAAAGAAGGCGAGAGGUAAGGAAGGAAGGAAGGAAGGAAGGAAGAAAAAGGAAAUAAGGAAGGAAGGAAAGAAGGCGAGAAGGAAGGAAGGAAGGAAGGAAGGAAGGAAAGAAGGAAGGAAGGAAAGAAGGAAAGAAGGAAAGAAGGAAGGAAAGAAGGAAGGAAAGAAGGAAGGAAGGAAAGAAGGAAGGAAAGAAGGAAGGAAGGAAGGAAGGAAAGAAGGAAGGAAGGAAGGAAAGAAGGAAGGAAGGAAAGAAGGAAGGAAAGAAGGAAGGAAAGAAGGCGAGAAGGAAGGAAGGAAGGGCAUACAGACCGAAUGAUAGAAUGAAAGAUAUAAGGAAGGACGGAUUGAAGAAAGCAGCAGAAGGAAGAAUUGAAUGGAUGAAAGGAAUGGCAGAAGGAAGGAGGAAGAGUGAGAAGAAUGCAGGAAGAAGAACUGAGAGUAAAGAAGAAAUGAAAAGACGGAUAGGAAAGCGAAUGUUAGUAAAAAGAAAGAACUGAACAAUUCUGCCACGGUUACAGCUGUAUCUCUCCUUCCUGUUUUCUUUCCUUUCUCUCGCCUCGUCUUUCUCUAUUGUUCUCUGUUUAUCCUGUCUUCUUUCUCUCCUCUUUUCCUGCAUUCUCAUAUCCAUGUCUUUUCUUCAUCCUUCAGUCUGUUAUAUGAAAACUCUCUCUCUCUCUCUGUGUGUGUGUGUGUGUGUGUGUGUGUGUGUGUGUGUGUGUGUGUGUGUGAAAUGUAAACUUUGAAUAAGAGCCGAAAUACUAACU
ensembl:lncRNA